GACAAGCGGCCAAGACAAGCCCAUUUCGGAGUCAUUCGUCGUCAAUAUGGCGCUUGCAGGUUGUGCGAAGGGGUUUGUUGCUUGUCUUGUGCUACCGGAUUUAAACGUUUCCUGUGUGCAGCCUCUAUGCCUCUUCGAACUGUGCGGCAGGUGUGAAACAGAUGUGGUUCAGUAAAACCGUGAGAAGUCAUUUGAAAUGCGGGGUGCACCAAAAGUCACGUUCGUCAUUUGCGGAGACGGUUACCGCGCCGUUGUGGACAACCUCGAGAAGUGCUUCAUAUCGCUGAGCGUUGCCGAUAUGGCAAAAAAGGCCAUUAUCGGCAAAGUGAGCCGGGUAAGGACAUCAAGAAGAGCUGCUAUUACAGGGAUGUCCACCUUCUUUGAGAUGGAGAAAAAAACGACUCGCCGUGCAACACAAUCUUUUCUACCAGAGUGACUGUGAAAAGAACGUCAGAACUUGGAAGGUUUCAGUGAUAUCCUCCAGGUCAGGCACCUUCGGCAGAAACACUGCAGCUGCUGCUACCACCACCACGACCUAUAUUUCACUUCAGCCAUUGCUGCAUCACAACCAGUAUUACAACUUCUGAGCCGCUACCACAGUCCUUCCCAAUGAUGCCUCACCUUGACAGGGCUUCACAUGCUUCAAGAAGAAGCUGUCAGGCAAGUUCAUUUGAGAGGCAGAAGAAGGAGCAGUGGGCUUGGCUGCGGUCGUAAUGCAAGGAGGCUACAAAGCUCCUGUGGAGUGUCCUUCAGCUUCAGAACAAGAGCCUCAUAGUAGCCCGGCAUUGGAGUAUUUGUGCAUCAAGAGGACAAACAAGUGCCCCUGAACGGGGCUCUGACAGCGAGAAAUUUGGAGGUUGUGGCUAGUGAUUAUUGCUUAAAGAGGUACUGACGCAAAUUUUUGUCUUGCAAUAUUAACAUUGUUGACAGCCUAUUAGUCACAAUGUGGUGGAUUGCUUGCUGCAGCAUGGGACAGAUGGACAAUUGCUGUCUGUUUAUUACAGACUAGUUUUAGCUUGGCACAGCUCUAAGAACACGAGCCACGGAAUGCAACAAAUGCCAACUAGUGUGCUAAAUGGUACACAUAAAACGGGGCUUCCAGGUGUAAGUAGCACUUGCACAGCAGGUCUAUCAAUAUUGAAAGUGGACGGUGACAACCGACACAGUAAUCAAGGCGCUGGGGCAAACAGCUCCCGCUCGGCGCUUCUGGCUUAAGAGAUGGCCCACCAUGGCGUAUUGUUCUUCUUCCUUCUUACACACAGAACACUGACGCACUUCUGUGCUGCCUGCGUUAUGUGCUCACAUUGUUUUGCUGCUGCAUAUGCAGCACAAUGUCGUUGUCGUCAAGUUGAUCGUUCUCGUUCGGGUGCAAAGAUUUUCUUGAGGCAUCCUCACGUUCCACAUGUUUACAUUAGGCAUGAACACAGCAGUCGCUGAAUAGUAGCCUGCUAGCACAAGUGUGGCCAAAAGGCAAUAACGACUAUGAUGUCAAUAAUGUAGCUGUGCCAACUCUGAGCUCAGCAACAAUGGUGGCACCUGGAAGUUGGGACUCAGCUUCAGGUCACUUUCAGUGAUUCAAUGAUGCGAGAUGCGGCAUAUAGCACUGGAUCAGGCACGCAAACUUUAAUAUUCAUAUAAUUGGCCGUCUGAGCUAUAAUUGUUCAUCCAAUUUGUAGAUAUAUGUACGUUCAAGGGAAUCAAUGUCGCAGGCUAUAUUAGCCACAAAAUUUUGUGUCAGUACUCUUUAUGGUAUUUUGCUUUAUGUUUUAACUUACAGUUAAACAAAUAAGUAAAGAAUUUAGUAAGUUAUAGUAAUCAUAUAAAUAAAUUCGAGGAUGCAAAAA
rnacentral:lncRNA from 1 species